rnacentral:rRNA from 1 species
CACGUAGGCGGCUUUUUAAGUCAGGGGUGAAAUCCUGGAGCUCAACUCCAGAACUGCCUUUGAUACUGAGAAGCUCGAGUCCGGGAGAGGUGAGUGGAACUGCGAGUGUAGAGGUGAAAUUCGUAGAUAUUCGCAAGAACACCAGUGGCGAAGGCGGCUCACUGGCCCGGUACUGACGCUGAGGUGCGAAAGCGUGGGGAGCAAACAGGAUUAGAUACCUUGGUAGUCCACGCUGUAAACGAUGGAUGCUAGCCGUUGUCGGGUUUACUCGUCAGUGGCGCAGCUAACGCAUUAAGCAUCCCGCCUGGGGAGUACGGUCGCAAGAUUAAA